UACGUAGGGUGCAAGCGUUGUCCGGAAUUAUUGGGCGUAAAGAGCUUGUAGGCGGUUUGUCGCGUCUGCUGUGAAAUUUCGGGGCUCAACCCCGAACUUGCAGUGGGUACGGGCAGACUAGAGUGUGGUAGGGGAGACUGGAAUUCCUGGUGUAGCGGUGAAAUGCGCAGAUAUCAGGAGGAACACCAUAGCGAAGGCAGCUCAUGGGCGAUACUGACGCUGAGGAAGCGAAAGCGUG
rnacentral:rRNA from 1 species